UCCUUGUCCGUGCCGUUUGCUUUUGUGGGAAGAAAAAAAUGUUGAGGUAAAGGGGUCUCAUAGCUUGAAGGCGUUUGGUCCAUUGAUGUAGUAACUAACAACUUCGUUUGGCUGCUAAUUGCUUUGCCUGAAAGCUGUCUUUCAAAGUAAUAAUACUCCAUCUGUCAUAAUUUAUGUACUGUAGUUUCAUGGUUCGCAGUGUGGUUUUCGAUGGUGGAUGUGACAUCCGACGAUUGCCGAGGAAGAAAGGUGCAGGGGAGAGAAUCAAUUUGUGGUUUAUGAAUGGAAACCUUGUGCCAACAUGUUUGAUAUGUUUGCUUAUUACUAUAUGUUUGCUUAUUACUCAAUGGUAUGAUCACUGCAAUUUUUAUGUUAUUUCGUGAAAACGACAAUCAACUAGGGCUUAGUUUAUUUUUGGUACUGAUUUAUAGUUUGUUUGGUAACCACAUCACACCUUCUUAAACUUUAGACAGUUAAAUGUGAUUUAUGUUUCCUCCUAAUUCAUAUUUUCUGCCUUUCAGGUUGCAUUGGCAAAUGGGGCCUCAACAAUCUCUUGUGCCAUUUGAACUUUAAUUUGAUUAUCGAUGAAGCAAGAUAUUCUAGAUUUAUCGAAUCCUAUUUUUUUCAUCAGAUCGAUAUGGUUGUCUGUAUGAACUACGGCAUAAGCUUCUUUGAGCAGCUUUUGACGGUGUUUCCAUCUUUUAAUUUCUCAGCAAUUGCAAGUACCAACCUCAGAGUUGAAAGUAAGUGAUGCAUAUUUUUCACGGAUCAAAUAGGAAUCACUACCACAGUACUGGCCUAACUUCUGUACUAAUGCCUACAUCAACCGCCUGGGAAGAAGUUCUAGGUACAUCUAUUGAAUCGGUCGGUUUAUCUUCCUUUAUCUAUAACUCGAUAUAGAUAUUAGGCCAAGUAGGCUAUUACAGUACAGGUGGACCACUUUUAGACAUGCCAUAUUCUUUGUCUGAAUAACAAAAUUAUUUUCACAUGGAAACCUCACACAAAAUCGUUGUUUAAAUCAUUGUUGGAUGUUCCAUUCUUUGAUUAUUUUGUUACAUUCAAACUAAGAAUAAUGCAAGAAAAAAAACCUUCAUUGUUCUAG
rnacentral:lncRNA from 1 species